rnacentral:rRNA from 1 species
CCUACGGGAGGCAGCAGUAGGGAAUAUUGCUCAAUGGGGGAAACCCUGAAGCAGCAACGCCGCGUGGAGGAUGAAGGUUUUCGGAUUGUAAACUCCUUUUGUUAGAGAAGAUAAUGACGGUAUCUAACGAAUAAGCACCGGCUAACUCCGUGCCAGCAGCCGCGGUAAUACGGAGGGUGCAAGCGUUACUCGGAAUCACUGGGCGUAAAGAGUUGCGUAGGUGGCAUAAUAAGUAGCUAGUGAAAGCUGGUUGCUCAACCAUUCAGACUAUUAGCUAAACUGUUAAGCUCGAGACCGUUAGGGGUAACUGGAAUUUCUAGUGUAGGAGUGAAAUCCGUAGAGAUUAGAAGGAACACCAAUAGCGUAGGCAGGUUACUGGGACGGUUCUGACACUAAGGCACGAAAGCGUAGGGAGCAAACGGGAUUAGAUACCCGAGUAGUC